rnacentral:rRNA from 1 species
UACAGAGGGGGCAAGCGUUGUUCGGAAUUACUGGGCGUAAAGGGCGCGUAGGCGGCCUGCUAAGUCGAACGUGAAAUCCCCGGGCUCAACCCGGGAACUGCGUCCGAUACUGGUGGGCUUGAAUCCGGGAGAGGGAUGCGGAAUUCCAGGUGUAGCGGUGAAAUGCGUAGAUAUCAGGAAGAACAUCGGUGGCGAAGGCGCUCUGCUGGACCAUAACUGACACUCAGGGACGAAAGCUAGGGGAGCGAAUGGG